CUUAUUUUCACAUCUUUAUUCCUCUGACACAAAUCGUAGCACAGUGUAUACUGCUUUCUAAAAAUAUGAUUUCUUAUUGUAUUAAAAUUGUUAAUGUGCUUUGGAAGUUGCCUAUCAUUCUUGUCCUUUUCCUGUCUGCUUUGCAGGAGGAAUGCAGACCCACUAGUUGUGAGAGCUUUCCCUCCCAACUAUGGUAGUGGGCACCACACUGGCAUUUAGCAGCAUGAAGCUGCCUUCUGAGGAUGCAGCUCCCAUGUAUGCCAUCUUGGACUUCAAGCACACUUUUUUUAGUUUUGCUCCUGUCCAUUUUGUUCCCAGUCACUGGAGAGAUAAAAGGGGGAACUGAAGCUGAAAAAUAAGUAUCAAAAUUGUGAAGCUUGGUAUUCAGCAAGGCUGAAUGAGGUGGUUGACAUUCUCUUCAUUUUGUGGUGUGACAAUUUUGCAUUACUGUCCAGAACAUGGCUUAUCUUUCUUAUCAGCGUUACCACUGCUGAAAUGCACCACCUGCCACCUCACUGUGCUCUCACCCACUGUUUGGUCUCCAUAAACAUUCUGCAAACGUCACUGAAUGUCAAUAGGCACUCCAUCUUCCCAGUGGAGGAGUUCAGCGACACACCUUUGCUUCAGAUGCACUUGCACGUCGGAUGCCAUUGUAUCAGACUGUCCUGCUGCCAUCUGCUGCAUGACAACAAUAUGUGAUGGGAUAUUGGCAGGAAAUUUCACCCUCUACUGCCAUACUACCAACAUCUGCCUCUGACAUCAUGGGCCAACAUAAUAAAACAUGUAGCAUUACUUUUAGAGCUGACCAUGUUUUUCCAGCCUAUUGUAUUUGAUGCUUUUAUCUUUUUGGUGAUGUGGGAAGAAAGGCUGAGGUUGCAGUGGAGAAGAAAUGAAUGAAUAAAUGCUACUUUCCCCUCUGCUAAAAUGCAGCGUAGAGAGCUGCAUGUAAAAAAGCAUGUAAAAUGGUAUCACAUAAUGGUAUCACAUUGCUAUCCCUUCCUGAGCUUUAUUCUGACUUGUCAAGAAAAGUUUCUGUACUAUGACAGGUAAAUUUGUCUUUAUUUUCUUAUUUAGAAACAUCUGUUACAUCUCAUGACUUCCACAUGCAUCAUGGUCAUACACUGUAUUCAUAAUUUAAGAUAAAAAAUGAUAAAGUAAAAACUACUUAUUAGAGUUGGUAAUCUAAUCAAUAGGAGAAUAGCUGCUAGUAGUGGAAUAAUCUAGUUAUUUAGAUAAUACUCAGUGAAUGAAAGUUGUUCAUUACUAGAUAGUUAAAAGGUAUGAAUUAUUUGUAGAAAGAACUGAAGACUGUAGUCUAUCCAAAAGAAUUAUAUUCAAGGAGAGGAAAAAUGAACACAACUUGAUCUCUUGUCUAGGGAAUCAUAUAUCUUGAUAAAUAAGAAAAGGUGUGUGUAAAUAAAUAUUCACACAUAUAUUUUCUUAUUCUUUACCUAACAAUUUUGUUGAUAUCUUUUAAAUAGCAGCUACUUGAAAAAAAAAAAAGCAUAAAAAUAAAUAAAAAGCAUUAAAAAAGUAAUAAAAAGCAUAAAAAAGCAGAAAUGUGGUAAUUAAAAUCAAGUUAUCCUUAUACUAAACCUUUAUUGCUCUCUAGAGAAUGAUGUCUGUAAGGUAUGCACUAGAAAAUAAAGGAUUAUGAUGUUAAAAAAAAAAAAAAAAA
rnacentral:lncRNA from 1 species